rnacentral:rRNA from 1 species
UACGGAGGGGGCUAGCGUUAUCCGGAAUGAUUGGGCGUAAAGCGUCCGCAGGUGGCUAUGUAAGUCUGCUGUUAAAGAGUGAGGCUCAACCUCAUAAAGGCAGUGGAAACUACAUGGCUAGAGUGCGUUCGGGGCAGAGGGAAUUCCUGGUGUAGCGGUGAAAUGCGUAGAGAUCAGGAAGAACACCGGUGGCGAAAGCGCUCUGCUAGGCCGCAACUGACACUGAGGGACGAAAGCUAGGGGAGCGAAUGGG